rnacentral:rRNA from 1 species
GACGAACGCUGGCGGCGUGCCUAAUACAUGCAAGUAGAACGCUGAAGAGAGGAGCUUACUCUUCUUGGAUGAGUUGCGAACGGGUGAGUAACGCGUAGGUAACCUGCCUUGUAGCGGGGGAUAACUAUUGGAAACGAUAGCUAAUACCGCAUAACAAUGGAUGACACAUGUCAUUUAUUUGAAAGGGGCAAUUGCUCCACUACAAGAUGGACCUGCGUUGUAUUAGCUAGUAGGUGAGGUAAUGGCUCACCUAGGCGACGAUACAUAGCCGACCUGAGAGGGGGAUCGGCCACACUGGGACUGGGACACGGCCCAGACUCCUACGGGAGGCAGCAGUAGGGAAUCUUCGGGAAUGGGGGCAACCCUGACCGAGCAACGCCGCGGGAGUGAAGAAGGUUUUCGGAUCGUAAAGCUCUGUUGUAAGUCAAGAACGGGUGUGAGAGUGGAAAGUGCACACUGUGACGGUAGCUGACCAGAAAGGGACGGCUAACUACGUG